rnacentral:rRNA from 1 species
UACGUAGAGUGCAAGCGUUGUCCGGAAUUAUUGGGCGUAAAGAGCUCGUAGGCGGUCUGUCACGUCGGCUGUGAAAACUCGGGGCUCAACUCCGAGCCUGCAGUCGAUACGGGCAGACUAGAGUGCUGUAGGGGAGACUGGAAUUCCUGGUGUAGCGGUGAAAUGCGCAGAUAUCAGGAGGAACACCGGUGGCGAAGGCGGGUCUCUGGGCAGUAACUGACGCUGAGGAGCGAAAGCGUGGGGAGCGAACAGG